GGCAGACUUGGGAGAGCAUCUGAUGGUUCCAAGGGAAAUAUUUGUUGGGGAAAGAAAGGGGCACACAGGCCGGGUGACUUUCAGUCACAUGUGACCACAUGACGCCCACACAAACGGGUCUCUUGAGGCCAGAGCAGACAGGUUACCCCUGUUACCUCCAUCCUGGGUACAGCACCCCGUGGGGGUGGGAUCAAGCUGGGAGUGGGUGGGCAGAGCCCUCUCAGGUCAGCAGCCUCUUGGAUGAGGCCACAGAGCUGUAGUCUGUUAACAAGGCCAGAAGAUGCCUAUUUAUUCAUCCUACUUACUGACCCCGAAGCACUACCACUGACACCAUUACCACCAUGGACGGAGGUUUCAGCCUGCUCAGAUGACCAGAGCACUGGGGUGGCAGUCGGGAACACUUUUUACACUGAAACUGAUUUCUGGAGUAAGCAGUACAUACUCAUGCAAAAUUGUAAAGAUGCAAAAAGGAUGCAGAGAAAAAAGAGUUUGGGCUUUGGAAUCAAACAGACAAGAGCACAAACCACAGCUCCACAACAUGUGACCUUGGACAAGCACCUUUACCUCUUCUCUACAUGUUGGUUUCCCUCCUUGUAAUAUGGGAUGGAGACUAGUAACUGCCUCCUCUGCUGGUAAAUAAGAUACAAUCCAAAGGCACAGAGCACCUGGCCCAGAGAGAUUGCUUCGUAUCUGCUAUCCAGCAUGGCCAUCUGAUGGGGCCUGGACCUGGCUAAUUGUGGGCCCUGCUCCUCCCUCUGCCUGAGCCCCCAGCAGCUUCUCUGACCCAGCUGGAGGAAGAAGCUCUGAUGGGCAUCUCCUGUCCGUGCACAUCAAGUUAUUUCUAGUUGAUUUGUUAUUGUGGUUGUUGUGGUUGUUAUUUCUACUAAGAACAUUGAGCUAUGAAUAAACUGUGCAUUUUUCUUGAUGAAUGUGGAAAAGAGAUUCUCUAGGGUGUACAUAAUAAUAAUUAUAAUAAUAAACAACUGGAAAAAUAAGGGCAUUGAGUGCUCAGGAUGAAUGCCAUGGAGCUGGAACCUGGUCCUGGAGGUGUUCUGAGAGGCCAGGUGUUACCCUGGUAGUUGCUGGGUCCUGGAGAUUUGAGGGGGCAGUCCCCAGGG
ensembl:lncRNA